rnacentral:rRNA from 1 species
UACAGAGACUGCAAGCGUUAUUCGGAUUCACUGGGCGUAAAGGGUGCGCAGGCGGCCGUGUGUGUAAGGUGUGAAAUCCCGGGGCUCAACCCCGGAACUGCGCCUUAAACUACAUGGCUAGAGUAUUGGAGAGGGUAGUGGAAUUCACGGUGUAGCAGUGAAAUGCGUAGAUAUCGUGAGGAACACCAGAGGCGAAGGCGACUACCUGGACAAUUACUGACGCUCAGGCACGAAAGCGUGGGGAGCAAAA